rnacentral:rRNA from 1 species
CCUACGGGAGGCAGCAGUGGGGAAUAUUGUACAAUGGGGGAAACCCUGAUGCAGCGACGCCGCGUGAGUGAAGAAGUAAUUCGUUAUGUAAAGCUCUAUCAGCAGGGAAGAAAAUGACGGUACCUGAGUAAGAAGCCCCGGCUAACUACGUGCCAGCAGCCGCGGUAAUACGUAGGGGGCAAGCGUUAUCCGGAUUUACUGGGUGGAAAGGGAGCGUAGACGGCAGUGCAAGUCUGGAGUGAAAGGCGGGGGCUCAACCCCCGGACUGCUCUGGAAACUGUACGGCUGGAGUGCAGGAGAGGUAAGUGGAAUUCCUAGUGUAGCGGUGAAAUGCGUAGAUAUUAGGAGGAACACCAGUGGCGAAGGCGGCUUACUGGACUGUAACUGACGUUGAGGCUCGAAAGCGUGGGGAGCAAACAGGAUUAGAUACCCCAGUAGUC